rnacentral:rRNA from 1 species
GACAGAGGGUGCGAACGUUGUUCGGAAUUACUGGGCGUAAAGCGCAUGUAGGCGGCCAAGCAGGUCGGAUGUGAAAUCCCUCGGCUCAACCAAGGAAGUGCAUUCGAAACCGCAUGGCUAGAGCCCCGGAGAGGAAGGUGGAAUUCUCGGUGUAGAGGUGAAAUUCGUAGAUAUCGAGAGGAACACCGGUGGCGAAGGCGGCCUUCUGGACGAGGACUGACGCUGAGAUGCAAAAGCGUGGGGAGCGAACAGG